rnacentral:rRNA from 1 species
UCGCUCCUACCGAUUGAAUGGUCCGGUGAAUAAUUCAGACCGUCGUGGCGAACAAUCCCAUGAACGCCACGGUGGGAAGUCUAGUAAGCCUUACCACUUAGAGGAAGGAG